rnacentral:lncRNA from 1 species
AAAUUUAUGAAAAAGUUUAAUUUUCAGAGCUUUUUGGAUGUAGGAAUGGUAGAUAAAGAGAUUAUGCUUAUGUGCUCACACACAUACAAACACUUGCACAUACACAACAAAUAACUAUACAUAAGCGGUGCAAGCUUGGCAGUUUUUCUUAAUAUCUGUUUGACCUGCAACAAAUCAUAUGAAUCUGGGCCAUUUUCACACACAUUAAAAAUAGGAGUAAAUGUGGAAUUAACCAAAGAUAAACUGUGACUAAAUGUUGCAAACACUCUUCGAAGCACUCUCCAUGAAUGAGCAUAGCCGGGAGGUUAGCAGACCUGAACGCCUUCACAGCUCUGCUGUUGACAUUCCAUGUGACCCCAGAAAAGUCACUUGGUUUCCCUGGUCCUCAGAUUUCUCUCCUGUAAAAUGAGGCCGUUGGAAGUGAUGGUCUCUAAGGCCCUUUUCAGUUCCACAAGCUGUGCUUAUAAAGUUUUUCAUUUUAUUCAUGUCUAUAGGUUUAAUUUUUAAAAACAAUACCCAAUAAUAAGGUUUCAAAUUAUCUCUUGGUCUAAUGUGCCUGUUUUUACACAGUGUCAAUCAUCCUUGAGUCACUGAAUCACAAGAGUUUUAGGCCAGUCAUUUCCUUCACCGUUUCUAAAUACUGUACCCUGUUUUACACACAAGCAACGUGAACAACGAAGCGUGAUGGUAAAAACAGGACGCUCCGGCUCCCUUCAGCUGGACUUUGCAAACCUCUUUGUGUUAUUUUAC